rnacentral:rRNA from 1 species
UUCUCGCCCUCGCGGGUAGAUCUCCCACCCACUGUUAUUGCUACCGUGUUGCUUUGGCGGGCUGCUGGGCCUAGCCCGGCCGCCGGCUCCGGCCGGCGCGCGCCCGCCAGAGGCCCGACAAAUUCUGAUUGUCAGUGUCGUCUGAGUACUAUAUAAUAGUUAAAACUUUCAACAACGGAUCUCUUGGUUCUGGCAUCGAUGAAGAACGCAGCGAAAUGCGAUAAGUAAUGCGAAUUGCAGAAUUCAGUGAGUCAUCGAAUCUUUGAACGCACAUUGCGCCCUGUGGUAUUCCGCAGGGCAUGCCUGUUCGAGCGUCAUUUCAACCCUCAAGCUCUGCUUGGUGUUGGGCCCCGCCCGCUCGCGGCCGGCCCUAAAGACAGUGGCGGCAGCGCCUGGCUCCGAGCGCAGUACAGCUCUCGCUCUGGGGCUAGGCGGUAGCCUGCCAGAACCCCCCUUCUAUGGUUGACCUCGGAUCAGGUAGGGAUAC